AAAUUGAAGAGUUUGAUCAUGGCUCAGAUUGAACGCUGGCGGCAGGCCUAACACAUGCAAGUCGAACGGUAACAGGAAGCAGCUUGCUGCUUCGCUGACGAGUGGCGGACGGGUGAGUAAUGUCUGGGAAACUGCCCGAUGGAGGGGGAUAACUACUGGAAACGGUAGCUAAUACCGCAUAACGUCGCAAGACCAAAGAGGGGGACCUUCGGGCCUCUUGCCAUCAGAUGUGCCCAGAUGGGAUUAGCUUGUUGGUGAGGUAACGGCUCACCAAGGCGACGAUCCCUAGCUGGUCUGAGAGGAUGACCAGCCACACUGGAACUGAGACACGGUCCAGACUCCUACGGGAGGCAGCAGUGGGGAAUAUUGCACAAUGGGCGCAAGCCUGAUGCAGCCAUGCCGCGUGUAUGAAGAAGGCCUUCGGGUUGUAAAGUACUUUCAGCGGGGAGGAAGGGGUUAAGGUUAAUAACCUUAGCCAUUGACGUUACCCGCAGAAGAAGCACCGGCUAACUCCGUGCCAGCAGCCGCGGUAAUACGGAGGGUGCAAGCGUUAAUCGGAAUUACUGGGCGUAAAGCGCACGCAGGCGGUCUGUCAAGUCGGAUGUGAAAUCCCCGGGCUCAACCUGGGAACUGCAUUCGAAACUGGCAGGCUUGAGUCUCGUAGAGGGGGGUAGAAUUCCAGGUGUAGCGGUGAAAUGCGUAGAGAUCUGGAGGAAUACCGGUGGCGAAGGCGGCCCCCUGGACGAAGACUGACGCUCAGGUGCGAAAGCGUGGGGAGCAAACAGGAUUAGAUACCCUGGUAGUCCACGCCGUAAACGAUGUCUAUUUGGAGGUUGUGCCCUUGAGGCGUGGCUUCCGGAGCUAACGCGUUAAAUAGACCGCCUGGGGAGUACGGCCGCAAGGUUAAAACUCAAAUGAAUUGACGGGGGCCCGCACAAGCGGUGGAGCAUGUGGUUUAAUUCGAUGCAACGCGAAGAACCUUACCUGGUCUUGACAUCCACAGAAGUUUUCAGAGAUGAGAACGUGCCUUCGGGAACUGUGAGACAGGUGCUGCAUGGCUGUCGUCAGCUCGUGUUGUGAAAUGUUGGGUUAAGUCCCGCAACGAGCGCAACCCUUAUCCUUUGUUGCCAGCGGUCCGGCCGGGAACUCAAAGGAGACUGCCAGUGAUAAACUGGAGGAAGGUGGGGAUGACGUCAAGUCAUCAUGGCCCUUACGACCAGGGCUACACACGUGCUACAAUGGCAUAUACAAAGAGAAGCGACCUCGCGAGAGCAAGCGGACCUCAUAAAGUAUGUCGUAGUCCGGAUUGGAGUCUGCAACUCGACUCCAUGAAGUCGGAAUCGCUAGUAAUCGUGGAUCAGAAUGCCACGGUGAAUACGUUCCCGGGCCUUGUACACACCGCCCGUCACACCAUGGGAGUGGGUUGCAAAAGAAGUAGGUAGCUUAACCUUCGGGAGGGCGCUUACCACUUUGUGAUUCAUGACUGGGGUGAAGUCGUAACAAGGUAACCGUAGGGGAACCUGCGGUUGGAUCACCUCCUUACCUUAAAGAA
rnacentral:rRNA from 1 species